AUUGAACGCUGGCGGCAGGCUUAACACAUGCAAGUCGAGCGGGGUGAUGGUGCUUGCACUAUCACUUAGCGGCGGACGGGUGAGUAAUGCUUAGGAAUCUGCCUAUUAGUGGGGGACAACAUCUCGAAAGGGAUGCUAAUACCGCAUACGUCCUACGGGAGAAAGCAGGGGAUCACUUGUGACCUUGCGCUAAUAGAUGAGUCUAAGUCGGAUUAGCUAGUUGGUGGGGUAAAGGCCUACCAAGGCGACGAUCUGUAGCGGGUCUGAGAGGAUGAUCCGCCACACUGGGACUGAAACACGGCCCAGACUCCUACGGGAGGCAGCAGUGGGGAAUAUUGGACAAUGGGGGGAACCCUGAUCCAGCCAUGCCGCGUGUGUGAAGAAGGCCUUAUGGUUGUAAAGCACUUUAAGCGAGGAGGAGGCUCUUUUGGUUAAUACCCAAGAUGAGUGGACGUUACUCGCAGAAUAAGCACCGGCUAACUCUGUGCCAGCCGCCGCGGUAA
rnacentral:rRNA from 1 species